rnacentral:rRNA from 1 species
UACAGAGGGGGCAAGCGUUAUUCGGAAUUAUUGGGCGUAAAGGGCGCGUAGGCGGCCUUGCAAGUGGCGGGUGAAAUCCCUCGGCUUAACCGAGGAACUGCCUGCCAGACUGCAAGGCUCGAGACCGGGAGAGGUGAGUGGAAUUCCCAGUGUAGCGGUGAAAUGCGUAGAUAUUGGGAGGAACACCGGUGGCGAAGGCGACCACCUGGACGGAGACUGACGCUGAGGCGCGAAAGCGUGGGGAGCAAACAGG